CAUUUCUUGGGCCGCUCCCGCGGCAUAUGGAGGUUCCCAGGCUAGGGGUCCAAUCAGAGCUGUAGCCGCCAGCCUACGCCAGAGCCAUAGCAACGCGGGAUCCGAGCGGCGUCUGCGACCCACACCACAGCUCACGGCAAUGCCGGAUCCUCAACCCACUAAGCAAGGGCAGGGAUCGAACCCGCAACCUCAUGGUUCCUAGUCAGAUUUGCUGACCACUGCUCCAUGACGGGAACUCCUGAUAAAUCUUAAAAUCUCUAUAGCUUAAUGCAAUAGAGCAAAUGGCAAAUGGCACAUAUGGCAAAUAGCCAUGGACUUGGUGGUCAGAAGGGCUCUGUUCCACUUGUUUAUUUAGAAACCCAGUCUGACAGAGGUUCUGCCUAUCUCCAGUACAUAAGUCCCAAGUCACCCAAGAACAUCAGAUCAUCAGAUGACCUCUAUUGGUGACAAUCUAUCAGUCCCCGUCUUUUUAAUAUCAUGUGUAUCACUGGCGAUAUAUGCAGAUCCAGAGACCUAAUGGUGCAAAUUGAACAACAUGAGUUAAAAAACUAAAUAUUAAGAAAAAUAUAUUAAAAUGGUAUUUCUUAGAGAAAUAGAAAUCAAAACUACAAUGAAGUACCACCUCACACCGUUCAGAAUGGCCAUUAAAACAUCUACAAAUAAUAAAUACUGGAGAAAAUUUGGAGAAAAGGGAACCCUCCUACACUGUUGGUGGGAAUGUAGAUUGGUGCAGACACUAUUGAGAACAGCAUUAUCCUCUAAAAACUAAAAACAGAACUACCAUAUGAUCUAGCAGUCCAACUCUGGGCAUAUAUUUGGACAAAACUCUAACUCAAAAAGAUACAUGCACCCCAAUGUUUAUAGCAGCAUUAUUCACAAUAGCCAAGACAUGGAAACAACCUAAAUGUCCAUUGACAGUGGAGAAAAAAGAAGAGCCUUCAAUGUGCUGCCUACCAGAGACAUACUUUAGGGCAAAGGACACACAUAGAUUGAAAGUGAGGGGAUGGAAAAAGAUAUUUAAUGCAAAUGGAAAUGACAGGAAAGUGAAAGACAAAAUAGUCUUAAAACAGUCCAUGAAACAGAAUUCCUUACCAUGUUUUGGACUCAAAAUUCUUCAAGCAAAUUUUUAUUCCCUUGAAAUCUGGUGGCUUAUAAAACAAAAAUUCUCUCCCACACAACUAUAAUACAUGGAUCAGAACCAGGGCAUAUGCAAUUAAAACUCCCUUUACAAAGAAAUUUACCUAGUCGCCUUUGUGAGGUGCCUUUCUCUAAGAGGGAAAGGUUUUGAUAAGAUGUUGAUUUUGCCCCUUAGAGCCUCUUCUGCAUUUUUUAUCCCACUGAGGUUAUGGUAAAAUAAGUGUGCAGAGGUAUUCACUCCUUGGAGGGUUACAGGUCUAGGGCUUCUCAGCCUGCUUUCUGCACAUGCAAAUUUAGGACCUCACAUGCUGUUUACACGCUUAAAUUGCCUAAGGUUAUUUUCUUACUAGCUUAGAGAUUCCAUUGAGAAUGCAAUUUCCUAAAAGCGAAGGUGAGUGAGUUUCUGGUGUCUGCUUCCAAAAUCUCAUAUGCAAAUUUCUACAUCUGAAAUUCUUUCCUAGACCCUGUUACCAAAGUCACUAUCAAUCACUCCCUUCCUUUUUUCUCAUAAAUAAAUGACAACCUCUGAGACCCUUUAUUUCAUUUUGACUCAUCGCUGUUUAAACACAUUGUUCAACUUAGAAUGUUUACCAGUCUGUGUUGCUCAAAACCAUUUUUGUCUCAUUGUUUGUUAUUAGGGUCUAGUAGCCUUCAUUCUUAAUUUGAUCACUAUUUAAGGAAAUAGCUGAUUCAUAUCUAUGCUUAUUUCUUAUUCAUAAUACUUUGACAAAGAUAAACAACACAUACAAUAUUUUAAUUUUUUCUGGAUACUUCACUCAGAGAUACAGACUUAAGUUCAUUUGGUUUGUCUUCUAAACAAUCUCCCUUCAUGACAGAUAUUUAGAUGUUCAGUGGGAUCAUUAAGAAAUUACCACAUAUUUGUAUUUUUACAAAGGCAGCAAACCAUUUUAAGGCAAUAGUGCCUGUCUUAGGGUUACCAUUCACUAACUGCUAAAAAACUAAAAUCCUUUAAAUCUCACUUUCUCUUUUUAUUCCUAAAAUAAGUAAUAUGGCUAGAUUAAAUAAAGGGGAAGCAAAAAUAUCUUGACUGGAAAUUUAUAAACCUCUUCCCAUCCUUAUAUUAUUUAUCAUACCUGAUAAAGGUUUUAUUUUGUGAUUAUAUUAGUGAAUUCACUUUUAUUCAUUAUUUCUUGUGUAAUUAAAAUUCAAUAUUAUCAAAUACUUAAUAUUAUUCAUAUUUGCCCUAAGUACCUAGAUUAUUUGUUUCUAUGUAUCAGGGUCUUAUAUCAUUAAGGCUGUGUUUUAGUAUUUAUGCUGAAAGUUGAACUAUUAUUCCUUAUGUAAUUAACCUUGUAAUUACCCAAUUUCACAUAAUGAAAAUAAAUUUAAAAUUGUGAUUCUGUACCUAUAAACACAAUUCUAUUUAUUCAUUUAUUUAUUUUGCUAUUUAGGACCGCACUUGCAGCACAUGGAAGUUCACAGGCUAGGGUCGAAUUGAAGCUAUAUCUGCCAGCUUACACCACAGCCACAGUAACAUGGGAUCUGAGCCAUGUCUGCGACCUACACCACAGCUCUUGGAAACACCAGAGCCCUAACCCACUGAAUGAGGCCAGGGAUCAAAUCUGUAUCCUCAUGGAUACUAGUUGGAUUUGUUUCUGCUGAGCCACAAUGGGAGCCCCCAUUUUUUUUUUUUUUUUUUACUGUUAGUUACAAAUAUUGUAGAAAUACUUUGUUUUCUGGUGAAUGCUGUAGAAAUUCUGUGAUGUAGAAUGCUGAGAUAUAUGUUCUUAUAAGGUGUUUCUCACAUUGAUAGUUUAAUAACAGUUAACAUUCUGUACACUUCCUGAUAUCUAGCAAGUUAUAUUUAUUCAUGUCCAACUCAGUUUGACAACAGACAUUUCUCAUCUUGAUGAACGUAUUUGUCAUGGACCCAUUUCUUAGAAAGAUUGACAAUGCAAAAGCUCUUGAAACCACAGGAUUGUAUUUUUUGCUGUCAUAUUUUUUUCAUCAUCAAUUCCAGUUUUAUUUGUUCUGUGAAAUCAAAUCGGGAAGAUGUGUGUGUCUAUGUGUGUGUGUGUGUGCGUGUGUGAGAUCAGGGGGCAGUUUUUUUUCCCUAAUAGAUGUGGACACAGAUUCAGUUUUAAGUAAUCUUCCACUUUAUCAUCAUAGUAAUUUAUGGCUUUAAAUAUUUCCAGGAGCUUUGGCAAUUUUAUUUUGUCAUUAUUUUUAAAGCAUUUUUUUGAUGAAACCCCUCUAUAGAGACCAUUUUGGAGUUAUGGGUCUUCUAGACAACCUGGUAAAAUACAUAGUUCUAAAAAUAUCUAGUGAAUUCAGUUCCCCUAAAUAAUUCCACAUAUUUCAAAAUGGAAGGACCUUCAGGACACAAACAUACAAAUCUGAGUCAGACAACCUGUGAAAAAUGUUUCAAAAAUCUCAAAGAUAUACUUGGAGUGAUCUGUUGUCAGCAAAGGGGAAGCACGCCAUUCCAUCUUAUUCCUCUCAUUGAUUGCAGUGAAACCUUCUGGGCUCUGAAAGGUAAAUGAUACGAGGUAGAUUGGGAUAGGAUGUCAAAACUGAAGAAAGACUGUUCACCAGUGAGUUUCCUUUUUUUUCCUUUCGUUUUUCUUUUUUCUCCCAAGGGUGGCCCAAAUAUGAGCCUCAUGUGAAUAACACAAACUGCAAUUGAAGCUAAAAGCUAGACGGAGUUCCUAUUUUGUGGCUCAGUGGUAACGAACCUAACGAACUGAUGUAGGUUCAAUCCCUGGCCCUGCUCAGUGGGUUAAGGAUCCAGUGUUGCAGCGAGUUGUGGAGUAGGUCUCAGAAGGCGUGGCUGUGGCUGUGGCAUAGGCAGCUGCAGCACUGAUUCAGCUCCUUGCCUGGGAGCUUCCACAUGCCAGGGGUGGGGCCAUUAAAAAAAAAGAAAAGAAAAAAAUAAAAGCUAAGUUAGAGAGUAUAUGGUAGCACUUAUUUUUCUCCCUGCCCUACUCCAGGACCAGGAUAUUCCAUUAAACUGCACCUGCAACAGUAGUGCAGAAAAUGAACAUUUGAUACAGAACAUUUGCUUCUCUGGUCAGAGGGAUCAGGGAUGAGGGUCCCUUUUGUCCAGAGUGUGGGAAGAGUCCUGCUAUUUUUUCCCCUCCUUUCUUUCUCUUGCUGCUUUGCUGAGUGUAGCUCAUUUUGUGUGGAAAAUGUGCAGCACAGCUGGGGAUAGCAUUCAGAAAUUUUUUUUUUGGCCAGAGAAAUCAGGAAAAGUGGUUCCUGGGCUCUAGAGUGUUGGAAAGAGAGCCUGCAAAGAGAUGAGCCUGAUCCCUUGAUCCUGUAAUUCUGCAUGUGAGUCAGUAGAAAUCUCAAGCUUACCCUUGAACUUGCUAGUCACAGAAUAGACUCCAAGAGGCACUGAAGAGGCUUUGAGAAAUAAACACUUUAUAAACCAGGUUUGAAAAACUAUAUCUCAAAGGUUAAUCCAGCCCACGGACAGACUUUUUACAGCCCAGGAGCUAAUAUUUAGCUUUUAAUAAUAGCUUUUGUAUUUUUAAGGGCUGUAAAAGAAGCAAGCAAAUAAUAAACAAAGCAGAAUAUGUAACAGAGAUCAUAUGUGGUCCACAAAACCUGCAGUAUUAUGUAACCCUUUACAGAAAAAAAAAAAAAAAAAGAAAAAGAAAAAGAAAAAUUGCUGAUCCCUGAUAGGAACUGCCCAAAUCCCAGAUGAAGCUCUAAACGGCAGUGCACUGGGCAGCAUGGACAGCAUGGCACAGGCAAUGCAAACCACACUGACCUUGAACUACACUUACAGAGAAGUGAGACAAAUGUGUAGGCUUAACCUAAUCUGGUUAAUUGUCUGUAAAAAUAAGCAAACAAGACCUCAAGAGACAUUCUCCAAAUGGUUUUAAAAGAAUCAUGUCGCCCAAAUAAUACUGAAACUGUCGAAGGUCCAAUGCAAAAUUACUUGAGAUAAUAAAAACUGCAAAAUGUGACAAAUUAUCAGCUUCAAACCCCAAGUUGAGAAAUAUUUUAAAGUGGAUGUUAUUAUUAUUAAUUUUUUUAGGGCCUCAUCCAUGGCAUAUUCAAAUUCCCAGACUAGGGGUCGAAUCAGAGCUACAGCUGCUGGCCUAUGCCACAGCCACAG
rnacentral:lncRNA from 1 species